CGCCCCUUGUCCACAAACACACCCCCGUGCACUCGAGGGCCCGGCUCGUUGAGUGGGUGGGCGACCGCCCAGGAUUCGUAGCCUCGCUUUCUUACACAAACUUCAGAAUGUAUAUCGGAAUGUCUUACGCGUUGUACGCAUCGUAAUAUAACUUUCAGCAACGGAUCUCUUGGCUCUCGCAUCGAUGAAGAACGCAGCGAAAUGCGAUAAGUAAUGUGAAUUGCAGAAUUCAGUGAAUCAUCGAAUCUUUGAACGCACCUUGCGCUCCUUGGCAUUCCGAGGAGCAUGCCUGUUUGAGUGUCAUGAAACUCUCAACCCCUGCCAUCUUUGCGGAUGAGCGUCGGUUGGAUUUUGGAGGUUGCCGGACGCGCGUUCGGCUCCUCUUGAAUGCAUAGUAAAGCUUGGACCUGACCGACCGAGUGGACGUGAUAGAAAGUCACCGUCGACUGAAGGGUCCGUCGUUGAACGGUUCAAGCUUUGUCUUCGGACGAAACACUCUGACCUCUGACCUCAA
rnacentral:rRNA from 1 species